rnacentral:rRNA from 1 species
AGUGAACGCUGGCGGUAGGCCUAACACAUGCAAGUCGAACGGCAGCACAGUAAGAGCUUGCUCUUACGGGUGGCGAGUGGCGGACGAGUGAGGAAUACAUCGGAAUCUACUUUUUCGUGGGGGAUAACGUAGGGAAACUUACGCUAAUACCGCAUACGACCUACGGGUGAAAGCAGGGGAUCUUCGGACCUUGCGCGAUUGAAUGAGCCGAUGUCGGAUUAGCUAGUUGGCGGGGUAAAGGCCCACCAAGGCGACGAUCCGUAGCUGGUCUGAGAGGAUGAUCAGCCACACUGGAACUGAGACACGGUCCAGACUCCUACGGGAGGCAGCAGUGGGGAAUAUUGGACAAUGGGCGCAAGCCUGAUCCAGCCAUGCCGCGUGGGUGAAGAAGGCCUUCGGGUUGUAAAGCCCUUUUGUUGGGAAAGAAAAGCAGCAGGUUAAUACCCCGCUGUUCUGACGGUACCCAAAGAAUAAGCACCGGCUAACUUCGUG